GGGGCUGAGGCUCCGGGAUCUCGCCCAAUUUGGAAAAGGUUGGAAUUUGGCCAUCAAGGGAUAGGAGCCCUAACCACUGGGCCACCAAGGAAUUCCCCACAAUGCCUUCUAAAGUUCUGCAUGAAGAAGCAUCCUGUUUACCAAAUGUUUACUGGACAGAGAAAAAGAAAGAGGUUCUUAGAGACCUUUUCUCCACAAGAAAGGCCUCCAAUGCUAGGAAUGGUUUACUGAAGGGCCAACCAAAGAGAACAGGCAGCUUUUGCUUAAAAAACCUGAACUUGAAGAUACCAUUAUUAGCUCCAUUUUGCGGGUUUGGAAUCUAAGCUGAGAGAUGUUGGUUGGGGUGUGAAUCCAGGUUGUCUGGACUCCAGAAUGUGAGCGCUUAAUGUCACUCUCUGAAAGCCAUGGUUUCAGACUGCCCUGGUGAUCACGUGGUUAAGAAUCUGCCUGCCAAGGCAGAGGACAUGGGUUCCAUCCCUGAUCCCCCAUGCAGAGGAGCAACUAAGCCCAUACACUGCAGCUACUGAAGCCCGUGAGCCCUAGAGCCUCUGUUCCACAACAAGAGAAGCCGCCAAGAUGAGAAGCCAGCACACCACAACUAGAGAGUGGCCCCUGCUCACUGCAACCAGAGAAAGCCUGAGUGCAGCAACAGAGACUCAGAACAGCCAAAAAUAAACAAAUACUUUUUUAAAGGUAUAGUUAUACAACAUAGUAAAUCAACUAUACUUCGAUAAAAAGUUAAAUAAAAAAAUAAAAGGUGUAUUUCACAGUGAAGGGGCUUAAUUUCUUCUGUGUUAAAAACAAAGAUCCAUUCAAUAAAAUAUUUAGUAAUACAAGAACAAGAAAAACAAUUUUAUUGGAAAUAUUCUAACACGUUUUCUGAACAAAUAAUCAAAAAAUAAAUAAGGACAUAAAAAGAUAGGAACAUAUGAAAUUUUGACCUUGAAAACAAAUAGU
ensembl:lncRNA